UACAGAGGUCCCGAGCGUUGUUCGGAUUCAUUGGGCGUAAAGGGUGCGUAGGUGGCGCUGUAAGUGGGGUGUGAAAUCCCGGGGCUUAACUCCGGAACUGCAUUCCAUACUGUGGUGCUUGAGGACUGGAGAGGAGACUGGAAUUUACGGUGUAGCAGUGAAAUGCGUAGAGAUCGUAAGGAAGACCAGUGGCGAAGGCGGGUCUCUGGACAGUUCCUGACACUGAGGCACGAAGGCCAGGGGAGCAAACGGG
rnacentral:rRNA from 1 species